rnacentral:rRNA from 1 species
GACAAGAAAUAACAAUACAGGGCUUGAAGUCUUGUAAUUGGAAUGAUGGGAAUUUAAACCCCUUCCAGAGUAUCAAUUGGAGGGCAAGUCUGGCGCCAGCAGCCGCGGUAAUUCCAGCUCCAAUAGCGUAUAUUAAACUUGUUGCAGUUAAAAAGCUCGUAGUUGAAUUUCUGCUGUUUCGUUGACUGCGUUUGGCGUUUGUCAUCGCUGCGGCUUGGUUGGGUUUCGAUUAUUCGUUUCCCGGCGUUUACUUUGAGAAAAUUAGAGUGCUUGAAGCAGGCUUUUGCCUUGAAUACUUUAGCAUGGAAUAACGGAGUAGGACUUUGGUUCUAUUUUGUUGGUUUUAGGAGCCAGAGUAAUGGUUAAUAGGAACAGUUGGGGGCAUUCGUAUUUGACUGUCAGAGGUGAAAUUCUUAG